rnacentral:lncRNA from 1 species
GUGCAGAGUAUCAUUGCAGCGCUUUUCCAGGGAGUAACGUGCUGCACUGGUUCAGGGCUUUGUCUUUAUUCACAACACAUUCAUGUGCCUCAGCAUGGGGGCAGCUGCACUGUUGCCUGCCAGCCUGUCCUCUUUGACUGCCGAAUGAACCAAAGGAUAACUCUCCAUUCGUGAGAGAGAGUGAGCUACAGAGGAAGAAAGACCACGCAAAAGGGAGGGGGAGAGAGGGGGGCGAAGAGGAUGUUCUCCGGCUCACUCCUACAUUAGGUCUCUGUGCAAAGGCAGAGGCUGUGGGAGCAGCAUCAAGCAAGACUUCGGGCAGUGAUUCUAACUAUUGCCUAUGAACACCGUGGCUGGGACGACUUUGACGAGGCAAUUUAUUACUUACGCAUAGAACACUGGCUGUGCUGAAACUGGGAGCGCAAACAGCCCCUUGUUUUCUAAUUUAGAGACUUGCAUCUUUUCGACACUCAACAGUAUCAAGACACUCUGCUACUACAGAUUGAUUUCCACCAUCAACACCUUUACCUCUUCCCGCCUGAAAAUAAAAUAUGAAAUAUAACAAGUAAAUCGCAAUCUACCUUGGGAAAUCAUCUUUCGGGAAUUUAUCUAAGAAGAACUUCUUAUGAUAUAUGAAGUCUGGGGGUAAGACCUGCAGUAAUUUCCCUUAAGAUAAGGCAGAAGGAUCCAGCUGAGAACCCUACUCCAAUGGCUGUUCUUCCCCUCUCCCAGUCCUGUUCCUUGAAGGGAUCCUUUCUCAACCCUCUCUCUCAUUAUUUUUGUGAGUAUUCAUUGAAAGACCUUGGGGAGAAAGAGUUACAAGAGAGUUCAAACUCCCCCUUCAUCUUUAGCCUUCUAUUUAUCCACUUAGACUACCAUAAAAUACCAAAAACCAGAUGGCUUACAAAGCAGGGAAAUGUAUUUUUCACAGUUCCAGAGCUAGUAAUCUAAAAUCAAGGUGUCAGCAGGAUUGGAUUCUGGCAAGGCCUCUUUUCCUGGCCUGUCAACAGCCACCUUCUCACUGUGUCCUCCCAUGGCCUGUCUACUGUGCCAUGUGCAGAGAGCGAGUGCUCAGGUGUCUUUCUCUCUGUCGUAUGGACAUCAAUUCCAUUGAACCAGAGCCCUGCUCUCCUGACAUCAUCAAACCCUGACUACCUCCCAAAGGUCCCAUUUCCAAAUAUCAUCACAUUAGAGGGUAGGGGUUCUACAAAUGAAUCAGAAGGGAAACACAAAUCAGUCCAUAAUAGGCCCCCUUGGAGCUUCACAUGCUUUUGCUAGCCCAUAUGUUGCCCCCUUCAACUUCUUAAUUAUUUCUAACUCAGUUCUUAUGACCGGAAUUCUGCUGUUUCUAUUCCAGUGAAACAGGUACUCAUGUCCCAUAUCUCUCUGCAGAUGCUUAUCUCUGUUUAUGUUUUGGGGUAGUGGGUAGAUAUCAACUCUCUGUUAGGUUUAAGAAAAGUUGUAAUCUUUUAGUUUGCCUGGCUUUCUCAAUUUCUUUCUCUCUUUCUUUUUUUCUUUCUUUCUCUCAGCUUUCUAGGUCUCCUAGUGGUCACCAACAUAUUUUACUUUUAGGAGCCAAAGUUCAGGUAUUUUUCUUCCAAUGGAAUAAAUUAAUUUUGUGGUAAACGCUUAGUCUUAUUUCACAAACGGUACAGAAUAUAUAGCUCAGGUCUCUGAAUCAAAUUAAUCAAAAUAUAACCUACUCUCAAGCGAGUCCUAACUUAUGGCAGUAAUAGAGUUGUAGAAGAUCCAAAACUAUUUCUUAUUACACUGCCCCUAUGAAAUGGACAUACUCUAACCAGAGCUCUGAGUUUAUUAUGUGCCCGAGGCUGUUCAUGUGUUGUCUUACUUAAUCCUCAUAGCAAACAUUUGAAGUAGCCAACAGGAAAAUGAGGCUUAGAGUGACUAAGAAAUGUGCCCAGGGUUGUACAUCUAGCAAAUAGCAUGGAUAAGAUAUGAACCAAAGCAGCUUAACUUCAGAGCCUACACACUUAAUCACUGAACUCCUCUGUCUCCUGAGAAAUGGAAGUAACCUUCAAAUAAUCAUAUGCUGGUGAAUGAAAAAUAAAAUCCAUUAUCUACUUUCUGAGUUACUUGGCCACCCUUUUGGAAGGUGAAUAGGGAUUAGUUUUGUUGGUUUUACAAAUUCAUAAAAAGAGGCCUCCAUGAAAGUUUUGAAAUAAGUCUUUGUUCAUCUGUGUGCUGGCCCAGGUAAAACAACUGUUAUUGUUUUGGUGUACUUAAAUAGGACAUGUGUGUUGAUCUAAAAUAUACACUUAGAUUCAGUACUUAGAUCUGAGCUAGUGAGCUUUUCAUUGUAUGGUGAAUGACUUUUUCACAAUUAAUUGCUAAUGAGAUCCUCCAUUGCGUAGAAAAUAUUCAGAAUAAAACUUCAAAAUUUUAAUGAGUAAAAGUGACCAACGUUUGACCUGUUUUCAUAGACACAUAAUUGAACAAUAAGUAGCUAUCCUAAAAUAAUCAUGGACUCCAAUGGGAGUGUGGUUGAAAUGAUAAUUACUAUAUUACACUGAUUGAUUAAGGUUGUGAAAAGUUAUUAGUGCGAGGGUGAAGGGUCACAAAUUUACGUUGUCCUUAGUUUAAUUUGAAUUCUGUCAAUAAAAGUGGAAAUAAUUGUUGUACUCAUAUUUUAUAAAAAAUUAUUCUCUCUUCCAAUUAAUGUCUUUGUCAUUCUGUAAGCAAUUAAUCCAAAAAUAAAUUAUUGCCUACAACCGUUAUAGAAAACAUGCCUUAUAACAUUUUCUAGUUUUUUUUUUCCCGAGUAAGUCUAUUGACAUAAACUACCACCAACUAAAUGUAAAGAAAUUUUAAGGGAGAGGAGAAUUUUUACAUAAUUACUCAUUCAAACUUGAUUUAAAAAGUUGGGAAGGAAGAAAUUAAUAUUUAUUCAUUGCUAAUAUGGAAUGUUCUAGAUAUUUUGCAUAUUUUAUUUUGCUAUAAUAAAAUUUGAUAAGACACGUUAUUUAUUCCUGUUUCAUAGAUAAGGAAGCUAAAUCUCAUGAGAGGUUACAAAACUUAGCCAAAUUCAUGUAGAUUUUAAAAGGGGUAGUGAAGAUAGUUUUAUCUGCUUUGCUUCAUAUUCAUUCACCAGCAAAAUCACAGUGUAGCCAAAAUACAUUUCAAAAUAACUUUUAAAAAUUAUUGGCCUAAUUUUUUAAAACCUGGUAAUAUCUUCAAGGUUCCUAUUUAAUACGUCAUCCACUGGUUAUUGUAUGGAGCCCAACAGGGUACAAAAUUGUUCGGAAAACAUAUAUGGGGUUAAUAAUUUUUCAAAUGUCUCUAGUAACAGGGUGGUUACUCUGUUAUCCCUUACUCUCUCGGCAAAACUAUUAGCUAUGUAAACAUGUGACAUUUAUGACUGGAGGUGUUAAUAAGGCCUCGUUAGAGAUUUCAACCAUAAUUAGCAGUAAUUACCCAGCAAAAUAUUACCAAACAGAAAAAAGAAAAAAAAAGAAUAAGAGAAAAAAAAUAAUAAAAACACAAAUAGAAAUAGAACCAGGCAGACUUAUUUUCAAAUUCUGGCUCCAACACUUACCCAGGUCAUGUGAUUUUGAGCAACCAGCUUAACCUCUGAGCUCACUUUUCUAAGUUGUCAAAAGGAGAUAAUGUCUGCCUUAUGUGGUUAUUGGAAUAUUCAGUUAUGUAAAGAUUUCUAGCACAGCUCCAGCACCAAAUACUCAAUAGCUGUCAGUUUCUUCUUUUCCUUCUUCUUUUUUUUCCCCUUGUGUUAAUGUCUAAUAAUCAGCACCAUUCCUAAAUUGUCCUAGAAAGUGGCCAUCAGCAUGGGGUUAUGUUUUAAACCAUAUUGCUAAAAAUAAACCAGGACCUGAAGGAGAUGCCACUUGAUGUGGUAAUAGUUGAAGCACCGAUGGUGUCUUACUUUAUACUAAAGUGGAAAUGUAGAAAUCCCUUAGGAUGAUGACUCUUCACGAUGUUCAGGAAGCAUUAUUCUCCAUAGAAGGAGAGAAUUGUUUUAUAUUCUUCCUUGAUAAUGUGUCUCAUUACACCUUUCAAACAUAUACAUUUCAUUACACACUUCUAUUAAAGCAUCUCAUUAAAACUUUCAAAUAUGUACAUCUCAUUACAUUUCCUUUAAGCAUCUUUACAUAUUCUCCAUUUGUGGAUUUCAUUAAAGCCUUUCCCUUGUAUAUCUCAUUACUAAACUACUUUCAUGUAUGUUAUUAUAACCUAUAUUUCUCAUUACGUUACUUAAACAUGCACAUCUCAUUACACCUUUCUAUUUAUGCAUCUCAUUACACUCCUCAAAAAUGUGUAUCAUAUUACAUCUUUCUUCUCCUUUGCAUAUCGUUACAUUUGUCCAAUUAAGCAUCUCAUUAUGCCAUUUCCUUUAUGCAUUUUAUUAUAUCCUUCCUUUUAUCCAUGCCAUUACACUCCUUAAACCCAAGUAUCUAAGUAAACCUCUACUGUGUGCCAUUGUAUACACGUCACAGGUAUGAUCUUCGUUUUUCCAUGUGUCACUUUUCUGGCACCCUUUGAAGAUACAAAUCUUGGUCUGAGGGACUGAAUUGCUUUUUAAAUAUACAUAUCUUAUCACAUAUUUAUUACAUUUUAGAAAAUGUCCCUUUUAUACUUUAAACUAUUGUUUUUUUCCUUUUCUAUUAAAACCUUUCAAGAAUAAGUGACUCAUGCUCUCUUUAAUAAUGUCGAGUAAUAGGUCUCACCACACCCUUCAAAUAGCAACAUCUCCUGUAUUAGAGACCUUUGCAUCCAUAAGCUUUCUUAUAUUCUUUUCAAAUAUGUGCAUCUCAUUGCUGUCUCUUGGAUAUGCAGUGUUAUUUACCCUUGAUCAAUUACAUUUCUUUUCCUACCUUAAAUCUCUCUGUCUUAGAUGGUUGGGGUUAUAGCAUCUGUUCGUUAUCUUCAGCCAUAAAUGAGAUUUCUCCUGUUGUUUGUUCUUCUCGAGGUUAUUACUUUUCCUCUAUACAAAUAUCCUCUCUCCCUGAGGCAAUAGAUGCCUUUGGAAUAAAUUAAGGAGUCAAAUAUAGCCAAAUGGUCUGUGAGUUACUUUACAUAAAUUCUAUUUUAUUAUGAGAGCAUUUUUGUGGUGGUGCUAUUCAAAAGCAUCAAAUUGUUGCAACCUCAAUAUUCACUAUGCUUUAAUUGUGUGAUUUUUGUGAGUAAUAAUCAAAGAAACUUUUGUAGGACAUUUAUUAUAUAGACAUUAUAAUCAAGACUCUAUCAACAACUAAUCCAUUAGAAUCUAAAUAAUAUAUCCAAAAUUCUGUAAAUUGGAGUGUAAAUUGGGACACCUGCCAAGUAUAGUGACUUGAUAACAUUUAUAGAGUAUUGACCCAUCCAGCCCAGACAUACCUCUGUCAUCAAAAGAAUACUAGUUAGACCAAGUAGACUUGAAUUUAAGCCACACUCCCUUCUACUAUGUGAAAAUUGGGCAAAGCUUCUUAAUUUCUUUAAGUAUCUUUACCAUGGCAUGAAGAUAACUUAUACAUCUACCGCCCAUUAAUGUAGUUGAAAAUAUAUAUGUAUCUAUCUCCUAUUAAACAGAGAUAAUUUUUGAUAAACAUGUUUUAAGGUGAUUUGUGCCAUUUUUUAAAUUUCUUGUUUAGUCAUCUUUUAUCAUUCUAUGAUAAUUUCUGAGCUCCUACUAUGUUCCAGGUACUGUUCCAGUUGGCAAUAUAACAAGAAGAGACAAGAUCCAGAUUCUAAUGGAAAUCUAUUUUUUGGGGGGAGAUGUAGAUAAUUACUCAGGAUGUAAAAAGAAUGAACAAAAUUUCAGAUAGUGAGAAAUAUAACAAAGCUGAGAAGCAAAUGGUAUAUUGAGACAUACAGAUGCUUAAUAUUUGAUGCUUUUGAAUAGCACCACUACAAACAACAAAAAGUAGCUGUUAUUACCCCAGGCCAGAAGGACAAGGGCAGGGGAUAUGGUGUCACAGGAACUGGAUGAAAGCUGGACACUGAGAAGGCAGUCUUCCAGAUAGGAGCUGUGGUUCUAAAAGGAUGAAGCCAGUGACAGAUCUAUAGCACUAAAGAAGAGAAAAGAAAGGGAAAAAUAGCCCCAAAUUCUUCCUGCCCCUUCUCUGCUCUCUUACUGCCACUUGCCAUUGUAUGAGUCCAAUAGGAUAGAAGAAAGAACCAUGGUGAUACAUGCUGUAGGACACUCCACUUGAAGACCCUAAUCAGAAUACAUAAGUAGUCUAAAUGGGAAGAGAACACACAAUCCACGUCCACUCUAUGUGAUUUUGCCAUGCCUAACUCACUACAUUCCUUUUUU